AUAGACGAAAAGAGGGACUGGAAACGCCACGGACCAAAGCUCUUCUCGUUCAUGAACCCGCACCCCGAGUCAGGAUUCUCCCCUGACGCCCCUCCCAUGGUCACUGCACAAUGUGAGAGAGAUGCGGUGCUGCGGGUGCAGAGCUGCCCAGAGAGGGCUCCAGGCCAGGGCACAGUCACUACGCAGGGAACAGACAGGACGCCCGAGGGCCCAACUGUCAGCGCGGCCGCCAUCUUAUGGCUGAAGGGGACUGAGGCCGAGCUGGGCAAGAACUCCGGGCGCAGACUGUGGAGCUGACUGCGGGGAAUCCUGAGUCCCGCCACAGCCCUUCCCCUCUCUCCAGAGGUCGACCCGGUACUCUCACCAUUUCUAGGCUUCCAGAGGGUCCUAGUGUCUUAGCUGUGGAUUUCCCAGUAUCUGCAGCUCACAGGCCCACAAAGGCCGUAGCUCAAAGCGCAGAGAAAACAGAGAAGUGAAGACAAGACCUGGAGCUCCGGUUGCCUGGAGAGACAAAGGCCCCGCCACAUCCCGGAAGCCGCCCUGUCCGCUCCAGCUGCGUGCCUGAUUGGACGGUUUCCACCCCAGCGCCCCUGAUUGGAUAAUAUUUAAGGUCCUGCCCCCUCAAGCCCUGAGUGACAGAAUAUGUGAUCAGACGCUGGGCUGAAUGAAGAGAGCGACAGCCUAGGCUGCAGCGUUUUCUGGCAGGGCUUCCUCCCGGAGCUGAGCCAGGCGGACCCCAGAAGUCUGGCUCUGUCACCCAGGCUGGAAUGCAAUGGUGCGAUCUCGGCUGACUGCAACAACACCUCCCAGGUUCAAGCAAUUCUCCUGCCUCAAUCUCCUGAGUAACUGGGAUUAGAAGAUGAUGCCUGGACAACCAGCACAAGUUAUCAAGGAAGAAGAGGGUAAUUUGGUUGAGUUUCCUGAGCUACCUGAUGCCGUGAUUCAACAACUACUAGGAAAUUUGAUGAUGGUGUUUUCCAAUCUCCUCCCUCUCUCGGACAAAGACAAAAGCAUUGAAACUAGGAAAAUAUCCCACAAUAGACUGUGUGAAUAAAGAAUAAAAAUAUGUAAAAAUAAAAAAAGAAACUAGGAAAAUAGAGUGUUAUUUGG